AGUGUAUCAAACUAGACAUGGAAAAUUUGAUCUAAAAAUUCUUACAAGCCUAAACUAGACAUGACAUUAAGCACUAGAAUGUCAUGCUCCAUACCAUUAUCUUGGUACCAUUUCAGAAAUUGUAACAUCAUUGAUUGAAGUUGAUUUUCUCAACUUGAUCAGCGGUCUUUUCUCGAGUCUCUGAUCUUAUUUAUUUUCUUCAAUCAGAUUUCACCAAGGUUUCUUUUUCUUUUCCUUGUGAUAUUCCUUCUUAAAAGAAGGAGUUUAACAUUCUACUCUUUCUUAUUUGGUUAGUUCUCUACUUCUCUUUCUCUUGUUGCCACGACAUAUCAAGUGUGGUGGACUUUUGGAUUUUCCAGAUGUGGAAUCUUUGCAAGCUUCUUUGAAUGGCAUGCCAUGAGAAAUGCUCAUGUGUAGUAGAUUCUUAGCAUUAAAAAUGGUGUAUUAAUCACUUGAUUUUUCAUUCUUAAGAAGUACCUUGAAGAAUUUGAGAAUCUUUGUGAUAGCCAUACCAUAAAAGUUAAAAACAAUUCAUGUAAUUUUUCAUUGGAGUAAAAAGAGACGAGUUUUUUGCAUUUGGAAUUUUUUUGAAAGGCUUAAACAAAAUAUCUUUUGUGAAAAAUGCACAUUACACGCCUAGUCUAUAUCGUAACAAACACAAGACUAUGAGCUCUAUCCAACAAAAGUGUUAUUUGUAUUACCAGACUCACAUUCAUUAAACAAUAGGAUUUCAACAGCAUAUUCUAUUGUAUAAUCUUUUUGAAACUCUCUAGUCUCUAGUAAAGAUUCCAUGCAAGAUUUCCCAGAUGUUAACAGAAAAUAAAGGUGUGAAAUUCUGACCCAUGUCAUUAGCUGGAAUUUUUUUUCUCAAGGUAGAUUGAUUUUUAGCUCAAUAAAAAAAUUCACUUUUUAGUUUCUCAAAAUUUUCUAUAGUUGAUCUAAAAAUUCUUACAAAAUUAUCUUGGUACCAUUUGAGAAAUUGUAACAUCAUUGAUUGAAGAAAAUUUGAACCCGGAGUUAGAUGUAUCUCCCUUAUCAUCUUCAUGUUUUUUCAUCGAAAAAGCGGGCACAUUUGGAGUACCAACAUAUGCACCUUCAUUCUU
rnacentral:lncRNA from 1 species